GCAGAGUGGCAGUUGCAGAGUGGCAGUUGGCUACUGCUGGCCACCACACAUACAUAGGCAGUGAAGGUUCUUUUGCCAAGACAAGUUAACCAAUCAGAUGUGAGACACACCUCUCCUAGGCCUAUGUAAGCAGCACCAGUUCUGGGCUCAGGGUCUUUUCGCCUCUACAAUCGAGCUCUCCCAAUAAACGUGUGCAGAAGGAUCCUGUUGCAGCGUCGUUCUUCCUGGCCAGUCGAGCGCACGCAAGAAGUGGUGCCGAAACCCGGGAUCAAACCAGGGACCUUUAGAACCAGGCACUCUGCAACUGCCACUCUGCAACGGCUUCCCACAUAUUUGCUUUGAUUUAUGGGGAUGCAUGUGGGUAUACGCACAGGAGGUAAGAAGUCACAGAUGCCCCUGGAACCCAGGAGAUAAGAAGUCACAGAUGCCCCUGGAACCCAGGAGCACACUCUUCAGGCUUUGUCAAGAUCCAAAGGUGGCUUAUGAAAUAGGACCACGACAUUCCCAAGCACCAAGUGCUGCAGCCAUCCUAAGGUGACAAAUGGGAGGUGCUCACAUGUCCCAUGCCUGUCCUCUGCUCCCCUGUGCCUAAGAGACUCUCCCUCUCCUGUGAGCUUCUAGUU